rnacentral:lncRNA from 1 species
CGCAGGGGCCGGGAGCAAGUGCACGCCGCGCGGAGGACGAAGAGGCUGCACGCACAGCCGCUGCCGGGGGUCGGGGCCAAGUGCGCGCCUCGCCGAGGACGAAGAGGCUGGCGUGCCCGGUGGCUCGGCUAGCUCCCGGGUCCCGGCCCCGCCUGGAGGAUGGAGUUCCUCUCUUGUGGCCCAGGCUGGAGUGCAAUAGCACCAUCUCGGCUCACUGCAACCUCUGCCUCCCAGGUUCAAGUGAUUCUCCUGCCUUAGCCUCCUGAGUAGCUAGGAUUACAGAUUUAUAGGAGCAUUGUGACUGGACCAAGGACAAAGAAGUUCCCAACCUCCUCAGACCCUCGCUGCUGCCCAGAUGUCUGCCAUGGGGUGGCCAUCAUCGAAUCCACUGAGGGCGCAAAUAGAACAAAAAGGUGAAGAAAAGGUGAAUUCUCUCCUUUCUUGAGCUGGGACAUCCAACUUCUCAGACAUCAGAGCUCCUGGAGGCCUUCAGACUCCGAGACAUUACACCAUUGGCUCACCUGGUCCUCAGGUCUUUGGACUUGGAAUGAAUUACACCAUUGGCUUUCCAGGUCUUCCAGCUUGCAGAUGGCAGAUUGUGGGACUUUUCAGCCUCCAUAACUUUGUCAUCCAAUUCCCAUAAUAAAUCGCCUCUUAUAUCUGU